rnacentral:rRNA from 1 species
GCCUACGGGGGGCAGCAGUAGGGAAUCUUCCACAAUGGGCGAAAGCCUGAUGGAGCAACGCCGCGUGGGUGAAGAAGGUCUUCGGAUCGUAGAACCCUGUUGUUAGAGAAGAAAGUGCGUGAGAGUAACUGUUCACGUUUCGACGGUAUCUAACCAGAAAGCCACGGCUAACUACGUGCCAGCAGCCGCGGUAAUACGUAGGUGGCAAGCGUUAUCCGGAUUUAUUGGGCGUAAAGGGAACGCAGGCGGUCUUUUAAGUCUGAUGUGAAAGCCUUCGGCUUAACCGGAGUAGUGCAUUGGCAAAU